GAAACAAAGUUCGUGAAAUUAAACACGGUCAUAGAGAGCACGACGUUAUAGGCUCACAAAUUCUACUUUAUAGAUCUUUCCGUGAUACGGCUAAGAUAAUGUUUAAUAUCGACAGGAAGAUAUCUCCGAUAUCCAUUUCUUUCGUGUGCUACUAAAUUCACAAAUAAAUUCCGCCGCAUCUCCGUACCAUCCUGUCACACAUUCAAGUAUAUAUGUAAAAAUUAGUAUGUUGCAUGGGUAAUACUACAUUUUGUUAAAAAAACUUUUACAAAAACUUAGACACGCAAGAAUAAAAAGGAAAACUAAUUGGUUUUUACACCACAAAAGAAAAAAAAACUUUUUCUUAGUCACGCGGGCCAUCUGGGCCAUAACCUGGUCCUGGGCUGGCCACUUCUCCCCCUCCGACGACGCUGAGGCCACUCGAUGUCCUGGCCGUCGGUCGCAUGGUCGGCCUUCAACGCACGGAGGAACACAAAUCAGCACCGUGGCCAUAUCCCCAAAACCCUAGCCUUAUUCUCACUUCUACCCCUGCUUUUGCGACACACACAGCAAGCAGCCGCCGCUGUUCUUGGAGUCAAAGCCUGUGUCGGACCUUGCGCCACGGAGAAGCUGGCGGCGCCGCUGCAAUUUCCUCGCCGGUGUACACGCGCAGCGAGCACCCUUACGCGCGGAGCCGAGACGCACUAAGCAGAUCACGCACGCAGGCGAGCGGACCUAGGGUGGCGCACUAAGCAGAUCACGCACGCGGCGAGCAGACCCAGGGCGUUGGCGAUCGUUACUUCUUCGGCAGUGAGGAACUUAGAAAUCGAAGCAGGGACGGAGUAGGGCGUCGGCGCAGAGGAGUCUGGGCUGCGGCGCCGUCGCAGAGUACCUUCUGUGGAGGCAGGAAAUCAGCGGCUGGCUCGAUUCGUGGAGGCUUGCGGCACUGGAAUGGAGGAGGGUGGGUGGGUGGGUGGGAGCCGCUGAUACGAAUGCCGACGGAGAAGGCGGGUGACGCUGCUGCUGCUUGCUGCUCGGCCGGUUGAGGAGGAGGAUGAAGUGGGGACGAGGUGGGCCGUGCUCGUCGCCGGCUCCUCCUCCUGCUGCUUGCUGCUCGGCCGGUUGAGGAGGAGGAGGAUGAAGUGUACGAGAACUACCGGCACCAGGUGAGCCGAGCGGGGGUUUGAAGCUUUCCGGCUAGAGAAGGAACGCGGGCGGAGAUUCGGCGAGCUAGAGAAGGAACGCUGGCGGACAUUGAGUAACUUUCUAUGUUUGCGAGAUACACGGAGAAAUUUUCUAUCUUUGCGAGUUUGCGCGAGUGGAGGUGUUCUCUUACGCAAGUACCGGAGGCAGACGGAAGACUGAAAAAAAAAUUUUCACCAAAAGUUGUCCACACUUUGGUCUUUUUAGUUGUAGGAGAUUAGUGGUAUACCAUCUUUCUGACAAUAUACUCAGAGAAUUUCCAUAUAAUUUAUACUG